rnacentral:rRNA from 1 species
AUGAUUCCCCUCCCCCUCCCGACCUUCUUCUUCGUGGCCUCCACCACCCACCAACCUCCAAAUCCUGAGGAGCCACCUGCACUACCCUCUCGCCCGGAACCCACCUCCUAUCCCUCCCUUGAAGCGACUCUAGCCGGCAACCUCCCCCCAGGUCGCGCGCCACCGCGCCUCCCACCCGCGGCGCCCCUCUUCCUUCUCCUGCGCCGCCGUUCGACGCGACGACUAGCUCCCCGCGCCACCAUGCCCUACACCACCGGAUCCAGGCCCUCCUCCACCGAAUCCAGGCCCUCCACCACCGGAUCGGCCAUCUUCCGGAUCCGCAAGCCCGCGUCCAUUCUCCGACGAGCCCGGCCACCCGUGCAACCCCACCUCCACCACCAUCGUCUGGAGCGAGCAGGUGCCGGGAUACGACGAGAUCCGAUGAGCCCGUCCUCGCACUGGUCGCCCUCCCCGUGGACACCCCUCCCGGCGACGAGUUGCACCUCCGUGGCGGCCGGCAGCGAGUGGCACACCGUCCAUCACCAACCCCCCCAUGUAGUGUGCAAACUGCUGCACUUCAGUCCACACCUCUGCCCCCGUCGCUGGGAGGUCGACGGCUCAAGCUCUACCUUUGCGCGAGGAUCUCGGCGACCAUCCAGCCACCCCCCGAGGCGCUCGUCUUGUCGAAAAACCAGAGUCGAUGAUGCCCAGAUGCGGGCUGUUGCCGGCGUGCGUGCAGUCCAGCAUUUGAUUUUUUUUCUUUGUGUUUUUGAGGUGGUCGCGGUUCCUGGGGCAUGGGCGUGCAAUGCGGCGCCCAUGUGUGUGCAGUCCGCGGAGAUGGGGUGCAGAACGAUGACGUUUGUUUGGUGUCUAUUUUUCUCACAGUUGACAUUUUUUCGUAUUUCAGAUUUUCGUUGCAGUCCCAUGGGCGCACAGGUGCAGUGCUGUGGGGGUAGUGCGUCGGCGACCGGCUUGCAUUUCACGGACAAAAUUGUGGAUUUAUUUUUGAAGUCCCUCGUCAUUGUAAUUUGUAUGUAUUUGUACUAUGGCUUAUAA